CCCUCAGCUUACUCUUGCUUUCUUUUAAGUCUGGCCAAAUUGGAAACAUGGCCUUUGCUAUUUCUGCCCUCCUUGCUGCCUGGUCACUUCCUGCAUGCCUCCCUAUCUCUUUUUAAACAUCUUUCCAACUGUUCAGAAAGGCCAGGAGUCCUGGCUGCAAAGGCAGGGACGGGGAUAGGGAAGGCCAUCGUUAUUUCCCUUCUCCCAAACCCCUGUGUCUCCCUGGAGAACCAUCUCCGCUUUCCAUCAAACAGUGCUGUCCCUCCUUCUUCCAGGACUGGGGAGAAGCCUCAUGGCAAUGGGACCGGGGUCUGGCCCCCCAAAUUUCCAGGGUCUGGCCUAAACAUCAGGUCAGCUUUUCUGCAAAAAGAGAGAGGAAGGUCUUACCACAGCAGCUCCACAUUCUUGCGUGGCAGCCCUGAGCUCUGGCCGGACAGUAACGACCUUGGUCAGGAGGCGCGUGUGCUCGGCUCACCUCACCUCUGUCCCCAUCACUCCCCGUUGUGUUCCCAAAAACCAGAGCAAGUUCUGGUUAUAAUUAUGUGUUCAUAUAAUUGCUUUACCCAGAAUAAAGAGAAUUUUAUCUCUCAAAAUCUUUUUCUCUAUCACAAAUCUGAAAAUGAAGGUCUAAGAAGAGCUUAUAUUGGAAUCAAAAAACAGGUAAAGGAGAAUUGCUCUCAGCGGAAUCCGCGGCUGCUGGGUACUUGUCUCUUCCUUGUAAGGGGCCAUAUUGUCCAAACACAAACAUUUCUAUUUUUCUUUUUUGUUCUUCCCUUUUUAAAAAGAUUUAAACUUAAUUAACAUAUAAUGUAUUAUUAGUUUCAGAGGUAGAGAUCAGUUCAUGAGUCUUUUUUUUUUUAAGAUUUUAUUUAUUUAUUUGGCAGACAGAGAUCACAAGUAGGCAGAGAGGCAGGCAGAGAGAGAGGCAGAAGCAGGGGGAGACCCACGGAGCAGAGAGUCUGAUGCGGUGCUCGAUCCCAGGACCUUGGGAUCAUGACCUGAGCCAAAGGCAGAGGCUUUAACCCACUGAGCCACCCAGGCGCCCUCAGUUCAUGAGUCUUAUAUCAUACCCAGAGUUCAUUACAUCAUGUGCCUCCUUAUGUCCAUCACCCAGUUGCCACAUCUAUCCAGCCUCAUCCAGCAACCCUCAAUUUGUUAUCUAUAAUUAAGUGUCUCUUAUGGUUUUCUCCCUCUCUGAUUUCGUCUUAUUUUACUUUUCCCUCCCUUCCCCUAUGCUCCUCUGUUUUGUUUCUUAAAUUCCACAUAUGAGUAAUAUCAAUUGCUGAUUGACUUAUUUCGCUUAGCAUAAUACCCUCCAGUUCCAUCCACAACAUUGCAAAUGGCAGAAUUUCUUUUUUAUGGCUGUGUAAUAGUCCAUUGUAUCUACACGUCACAUCUUCUUUAUUCAUUCAUCAACACAGACAUUUCUGGGAGUGGAAGGGGCAUUCGGGGAUUACACCUGAACACGUCUUAGCCAGGACAUAUGGACAUUCUCUCCUUGGAGUAAUUCAGUGCCUCUGAGGGGCAAAUGUUGCCAUUAUUAGAAAAAUCAAGGACCCGCUGUAAGCCACAGCAGGAAGCACUCUGAAGGCAAGUACUCUGGAAGGUACAGCCCCUGCAGGAGGAAAAGGGAAAGGGCUCCAGGCAGCCUGGGCAUGUCAGGCAACAUGGCAGCAAAUCAUGAACCGAAUCAUGGUACUGAUCAGGUGUGUGUCCCUCUGGCAGUUUCCUGGAUCAGGCAUUACAGGGCCUGACCCCCACUAAGGCUCAGAUCCUCUGACAGCCCCAGGGACCAAUAACCUCAGAGGCAGACUUAUUUAAGCCUUCAGUGGGACAUUGCAUAAAAAUAACCUAGCACAGAGAUGGCACGUAACAGGUGUUUGGUACAUGAGCUUCUCACGGCAAGAGGGUCCCCUCACUGCACUCAGCAUGUACCUUCUCCACCAAGUCUUUCCUGACCCUACCUCACUCGCCCUGGUGAAGCCAAAGUAAGAACUUAGUCUUGGUCUUUCCAUCACUCUCUACUGCACUGACCCUGCACACUGACUGUGUGUCCCCACAAGACCGGGACACCCCCACAGCAGAAAAUACAGCCAUGGUACACAAUAUCAGUUGUUAUGAGAAUCCCCUGGGCCGGGGUCUCCUGGUAUGGGGCGUAGGCAUCAGCAUGGGGUCCAGCUCCCAGCUGAUUGCAAUGUGCAUCCACAGUGGAGAAGCCCUGCUACUCAGAGGACCAGCAGCCUUGACACGGCUGGGAGCUCUUUGAUAAAAUGCAGACUCAGAGCACUCCCGACCAACCUAAUCAGAAUCUGCAUUUUCACAAGAUCUCUGUGACUAGAAAGCACAAGAGAGCCAUCGAAGUGCUGCUAUACCUCCUCCUGCCCCCAGGGCCCAGCAGAGUAGAACUUGCAGUGACUGGAGAAAUGGGGGGGCGGGAGCGGAGGGGGGAUCACGGCAGGUGUUCACUGAUUGGAGGAAGGAAAGAAGGAGGGAAGGAAGUAAGGAAUCUGUGGUGCAGUUUUCAAUGGCCUUGCACACCUAAUAUACCAUGUGCUAUCAUCCAGAGAGUUUCUGAACUUGGGUUCAAAAAAUAAAACCACAAAACAUCCAGGAAUUAAAGACUAAGUUCCCACCCAAGUUGAUAACAACAAAUAGCAGCUGCAAAAUGACUGGGCUUUAAAAGAAAAUAGCCGAUGGUUUUUUAAAGAUUUAUUACUCUUGAGUUCUUCAGCCAUUAGACCUCAAAAUGCACUAAGGUUGUUUUUGGGGGGGGGGUGUGUUUUUGUUUGUCUUGUUUUUUAAAGGAUGGUAAUUUCAAAAGCCAGGAAAUUAGGACUGACCCCCUGGCCAGAGCCAGCCCAUUAGCGUGGUUUAGACACAGGUUCGGGAGGCUGGGGCCAUCAGACGACCCUUCCUUGGCAAAACGGGGCUCGGACAUGAGCUUCUGGGCCAGGAGCCUGUGUGGUCUUGCUCUCCCCUGGCCCCUCCGAGCCUCUCCAGCUGCUGGUUCCACCAUCAGAAAGGGCAGCUGCGGCAGCCAGCAGGAAACUAUAAGGCAGAGGUCAGAAUUGCAGUUUCCAACAUUUUGUCCUCCAGCAGGCUGCUGAGAAAAGGGGGGAUGCUGGGGUUCCCCCACUGGUUGUGCUGGACUCCCGGGGAAACCCCAACCCCACGCCCCAGGCACCCCUACCCUGAGUCUAGGGACUCACAGAUCCCUGCUGCACCGGGGCUCCCCUGUCAUGGUCACUUCCCCUCCUCCUCUUCAUUGGGCUCCUGCCUCCGGGCUCAGGGAAGCGGCUCAUCCUGACCCAGGAGAGGAGCAGAGGAUCUAGCCUCACCAGAAUCUUAGCACCGGAACAGUCUCUGCCUCUGUGUAGGACCACAGGUGAGACAGUUCUUAGAAAGUUCUUCAGGCACAGCUGGGAACUCCUCUCCCAGCAGCAGUUCUGUCCAUUGCAACCACUGCAGGUUCGAGAGAGCAUCUCUGCAGCCCCUGUGUGACUGUGGGCAAGUUAUCUAAGCUCUCCCCCAGUUUCCCUCUUCGUGGAAUAAGACGGUGCCUCCCCGUGGAGUAAAUGAGGCUGUGGAAGCAGGAUGCUGACCCACAGUAGGAGCCCCUGAACUGCUUGAACCUCAUUGCCCCACCCCCACAACUCCAGCCCUGGGUGGAAAGUGAACACUGGCUUCGGCCAGCACUGUGCAUGCGCCUUCCUUCAGUCUUUGUGGUACCCUCCUUGGCUGGCACCGUCAUGAUCCCCAUUUUGCAGGAAAAAUAACUGAGGCUUUGAGCAAUAACUUCUCUGGAAAUUCCCUCAUCUCAAGGUGAAAUCAGAAGAUGGGCGCUCAUGUGAGAGUCAGCCUUCCAAUUUACUACCUGGUUAGCCCCUUCUAUUCUGUUAGACUUAUAUUUGUGCCUUGGCAAAGGACCACAGACUAAAUGGUGUAGAACAACACCCAGUUUUCGGCUCAGGAUUCUGAAAUAAGAAGCCCAGGCAUGAGAUGACUGUGUUCUCUGCUCAGGGCCUAACAAGGCUAAACUCCGGGUGUCAGCAAGCCACACACUCCUGGGGUUGUGGCAGAAUUUAGGUCUUGGAGAUCAGAGGAGGAAGUCCCUGUUUCUUGGCUGGCUGUUAAGGUGGGGGGUGCUGCUGUCA
rnacentral:lncRNA from 1 species